UUACCAGAAUUUGAUUUCAAGAACAGUAAUAAUUUGGUUCCAUUUCUUAAUUUGGAUUUUGUAGAAAAAGACUCUAAGUGAAAUUUUGCAACGGCCAAGGUAAACAAAGCUGUCUGGAGGGAGUUCCACGACUCUUGUUAAUAAAUAGCUUGUUUGAAAUGGGGUGGCUCAAGGAGCAGAAAGUCAGCAGUGGGGAAAUUGUGCGUGGUACUGUCAGCCUGAAGCAGUGGCACAUGAAGCCACUAUGCAGCCUGAGUGACGAACAGAGGCUCCCGUUGUUGUUGAAGCUAAAGGAGCAGAAAAUUAGUUUGAAAGAGG